ensembl:lncRNA
UGCCGCUGCCUCCGGCCAACCUCUCCGUUCACCUUCGCACAAGUUUAUAUAUAUAUAUAUAUAAAAAAUUUUCCCUUCCCUUCCUUCUCCUUAGGAUGUUGAAGUGCUUCCUGCGGCCCCUAGGAUCCCUAUUCCCCUCAGGGAAGUCAGGGCUGCUCUUUUUCCCCUUGCUUUCUCACUUUUCCUCUAUCUGCACUGCGGGAUCGGGUGCGCCAGUGGCUUCCUUCAACAAACACACGAGUCGCCCUACUUGCUCUCCUUUUGUCUUUCCCCCACCUGGGGUUCUUUUUGAGAGGUGAGAUAUCCGUUGAAACGCUUAACCAGCUCCACGCAAAGAGCCAAUAAAGAAGGAGUUGAGAUUUAAAUUCACAGGCCACUAAAGCGCUUUAAGCUCCCAGUUUUGAGCCAAACUGCAUUUCUUAGCGUCUGGAGAGCCACAUCAACUUCCAGCAAGUAGCUGAGACUCCCUGAAGUGAUUAAAAAAAAAAAAUAGCAGGUACUUUUUUCCCCCCUAAGAGCCACACAAAUUGGUCCAUGUUGACAGAUGUUUGUAACUUAGUAACUUCUUGAAGUUUUUUCUUUUAUUUCCCCCCCUCCCCUCCUCUAAGCCUUCUUCCGAGCUUGCUUUGUUGUUUUAAAAUAUGCAUGUCUCUCAGGAAUGCAAGUCACGAGUCCAAACUUCGUGUCCAACCUCCCACAAGAAAUGAUCCUUUUAUAGGGAACCCGAUAUGUCUCAAUCUGCACUUCACUCAAAGCCUCUGGAUAUAGGGCACUGGUCUCUGCACAAAAAUAACUCAUCUGAAACAUAUUUCCACCUAAAAAACAUGAAUGACUCCCAGGGAAGAAAUGUAUCUCCCAUAAUUAAAGGCGGCAGAGCUCUGAGGGGAAUGAAGCCUAGAGGAAAAGAAGAGGAAGAGGGAAAACGAAAAAAAAAAAAAAAAAAAAGGGGGGGUGGGGGGAAGAAGAGAACGAGAGAUAUUUUUUUGUUUCUGUGUUUGUUGAAUCGGGCCGAGAUUAGCAGCAGGUUUAUCCAAGACGAGCUUCUCUGGCAGCUUCGGGUGCGUGGGGAGAACGCGACAGCUCAUGAGGAGCAGAGAAGAGGAGAGAUUAAGGAACAGAGCCUAACUCCGAGAAAAGAAUGAUCUCCUGCCUGGGUCACGUUUGUUCCUCGGUCCUGAUGCGAAGUGACGUCAGCAGUUGCAUACCCUAUCGUCGUCAGAUCGAGCGGGACGGGGAGAGAGGCCUUUCCUCUGCCUUCCUUGCCUCCUCCGCUCUCUGUCGGGACAAACUUCCAUCAGGAUUAUGCAAAAUCAUGCCCUAAGAUCUCCUGGCCGAUGCGACACCUUUCCCUCCGUGUGCCACGCCAUCCACGCAUCCAGCAUAUGAAAAGCUCGGCAGGCCCCUGCGCCUAUAGGAUCUGGUACCACAUUAGUUUCCAGCAAUAUUUACAGCACUGCUUUUAAUAUGCACCAGAUGGUUUGCGACGAUGCUGCCCCAGCCAGUGAGAUCUUUGGUUUUUAUUCAGCAUCAUUUUGUUACCAUUAUACGCCAUGAUGAGACCAAUUUUAUUGGUGACCUUUAUUUUUUUCCCGUAUCUGUGAUACUUUAUAUGACAAAAAAACCCCAAACCCAACUUCUCUGCAGUCUCUUGGCACAGAGGCAGGGUGGACAGGAAGGCAGGGGCAGUGGCAGACAGCUCUCCUCAUUCUCAAUAACGAGAUGCUCCUGUGUGUAUACAGAUAUGCUCCUGUGUGUGCACAGAUAAAUAAAACAUAUGCAUAUUUAUUCA